UACGAGGGGGGCGAGCGUUGUUCGGAAUUAUUGGGCGUAAAGGGUGCGUAGGCGGUUCCGCAAGUCCUGUGUGAAAUCUUCGGGCUCAACUCGAAGUCUGCACGGGAAACUGCGGGGCUUGAGUGUGGGAGAGGUGAGUGGAAUUCCCGGUGUAGCGGUGAAAUGCGUAGAUAUCAAGUGGAACACCAGUGGCGAAGGCGGCUACCUGGACCAGCACUGACACUGAGGCACGAAAGCGUGGGGAGCAAACAGG
rnacentral:rRNA from 1 species